GUUCGGGCUGGUUUAUGUUGCAGAUGCCUGCCAAAAUACCCGCUUAUUUUUACGAGGAUACAUUCCCUCUUGACAGCUUUGCUUGGAAAAACACACAGACCCAAGCAAACCAGGCGGCCAUUGCAGUUUUGGAGUUUGGAGCAAAAGGAUGGAAUCAAGCUUUGACCCGUUUCACAUCUUCAGGACGACGGUCCGGGAGGCGGCAGAACCCAGAACCCAGAAGCCAGACUUCCUGGUCUGCAGCCACUUCUUCCAGCUCUAUGGAGAAGACACGGCAUGACCUGCCUCCAGCGUGUCCGAGGUCUGCCUCCUGCCAGGAAGGAACACCUCACCAGGAAAAAGCCCAGGAUUAGAUUCCUUCGCCGCCUCGACUCUUACCAAGUGUAUCAUGAAGCUACUUUUAAAGAGCAGACACUAAAGGACAUGAAA